rnacentral:rRNA from 1 species
GACGAACGCUGGCGGCGUGCUUAACACAUGCAAGUCGAACGGAAAGGCCCUGCUUUUGUGGGGUGCUCGAGUGGCGAACGGGUGAGUAACACGUGAGUAACCUGCCCUUGACUUUGGGAUAACUUCAGGAAACUGGGGCUAAUACCGGAUAGGAGCUCCUGCUGCAUGGUGGGGGUUGGAAAGUUUCGGCGGUUGGGGAUGGACUCGCGGCUUAUCAGCUUGUUGGUGGGGAAGUGGCUUACCAAGGCUUUGACGGGUAGCCGGCCUGAGAGGGUGACCGGCCACAUUGGGACUGAGCUGCGGCCCAGACUCCUACGGUAGGCAGCAGUGGGGAAUAUUGCACAAUGGGCUGAAGCCUGAUGCAGCAACGCCGCGUGCGGGAUGACGGCCUUCGGGUUGUAAACCGCUUUCGCCUGUGACGAAGCGUGAGUGACGGUAAUGGGUAAAGAAGCACCGGCUAACUACGUG